rnacentral:lncRNA from 12 species
CGCCGCUUACCCGUGAGACCGGGGUGGCCGCUCCGAGUUUGAACCGUUUGCGGGAUAAAGCCCACCAACGCGUGCGAACGUUGCAGUCCCUAGCGCUCCGGACAGGUUGUCUAGGAGACCGUGGAAAAGUCUCGUCACACACACACAUACGCCACCCCCGGCCAGGGAGGCCUCCGGACUGGGGACCGUGCCCCGUGUCACUUCUCACCCUUUACACUUGAGCCAAUCACAGUCCUCCGAGUUCCCAGGGGAUGCUGAGGCCGUUGUGAACGUCAGAUCGGUUCAGGCUUGUGAAGUAACCUGGCAAUCUGCGAGGCAGAAGCUCUGUUUUAAAGAGUCACAUUACAUUGGUAGUGAACCUUCAUCCCUUGACUGCUUGGUUUUGCCUUCUCUCUGCCUUGCCUGUCGCUUCCUCCUGGCCUCCUGUCAGCUGCAGACUGCAUCCCAAUCUGGCGUUGCAGUUUCCUGCCUCUCCAGCCUCUGA